rnacentral:rRNA from 1 species
UACGUAGGGUGCAAGCGUUUGUCCGGAAUUAUUGGGCGUAAAGAGCUCGUAGGCGGUCUGUCGCGUCGGCUGUGAAAACCCGGAGCUCAACUCCGGGCCUGCAGUCGAUACGGGCAGACUGGAGUUCGGCAGGGGAGACUGGAAUUCCUGGUGUAGCGGUGAAAUGCGCAGAUAUCAGGAGGAACACCGGUGGCGAAGGCGGGUCUCUGGGCCGAUACUGACGCUGAGGAGCGAAAGCGUGGGGAGCGAACAGG